GGGGCCUACGGGAGGCAGCAGUGGGGAAUUUUCCGCAAUGGGCGAAAGCCUGACGGAGCAAUACCGCGUGAGGGACGAAGGCCUGUGGGUUGUAAACCUCUUUUGUUAGGGAAGAUAAUGACGGUACCCAACGAAUAAGCAUCGGCUAACUCCGUGCCAGCAGCCGCGGUAAGACGGAGGAUGCAAGCGUUAUCCGGAAUUAUUGGGCGUAAAGCGUACGUAGGCUGUUUAAUAAGUCUGUUGUCAAAGCCCGAGGCUCAACCUUGGAUCGGCAAUGGAAACUGUUAGACUAGAGAGAGACAGGGGCAGGAGGAAUUCCAGGUGUAGCGGUGAAAUGCGUAGAUAUCUGGAAGAACACCAGUGGCGAAAGCGUCCUGCUGGAUCUCAACUGACGCUGAAGUACGAAAGCUAGGGGAGCGAAUGGGAUUAGAUACCCCAGUAGUCCUAGCCGUAAACGAUGGACACUAGGUGUUGGCCGUAUCGACCCGGUCAGUGCCGUAGCUAACGCGUUAAGUAUCCCGCCUGGGGAGUACGCACGCAAGUGUGAAACUCAAAGGAAUUGACGGGG
rnacentral:rRNA from 1 species